rnacentral:rRNA from 1 species
GUCGAGCGAACAGACGAGGAGCUUGCUCCUCUGACGUUAGCGGCGGACGGGUGAGUAACACGUGGAUAACCUACCUAUAAGACUGGGAUAACUUCGGGAAACCGGAGCUAAUACCGGAUAAUAUAUUGAACCGCAUGGUUCAAUAGUGAAAGACGGUUUUGCUGUCACUUAUAGAUGAAUCCGCGCCGCAUUAGCUAGUUGGUAAGGUAACGGCUUACCAAGGCAACGAUGCGUAGCCGACCUGAGAGGGUGAUCGGCCACACUGGAACUGAGACACGGUCCAGACUCCUACGGGAGGCAGCAGUAGGGAAUCUUCCGCAAUGGGCGAAAGCCUGACGGAGCAACGCCGCGUGAGUGAUGAAGGUCUUCGGAUCGUAAAACUCUGUUAUUAGGGAAGAACAAAUGUGUAAGUAACUAUGCACGUCUUGACGGUACCUAAUCAGAAAGCCACGGCUAACUACGUGCCAGCAGCCGCGGUAAUACGUAGGUGGCAAGCGUUAUCCGGAAUUAUUGGGCGUAAAGCGCGCGUAGGCGGUUUUUUAAGUCUGAUGUGAAAGCCCACGGCUCAACCGUGGAGGGUCAUUGGAAACUGGAAAACUUGAGUGCAGAAGAGGAAAGUGGAAUUCCAUGUGUAGCGGUGAAAUGCGCAGAGAUAUGGAGGAACACCAGUGGCGAAGGCGACUUUCUGGUCUGUAACUGACGCUGAUGUGCGAAAGCGUGGGGAUCAAACAGGAUUAGA